CUUGAUUCCCCUCUGGCCGAGUUCUACUCAGAUAAGGAAACUGACAAAGCCAGGUGGCCUGUGGCUGAGGAGCGAGACGGUCAGCGAGGUCUCCCUGCUGCACUCUCGUGCACUUCCACAGUGAAACCCUGCUGAGAGACACAGGAAAUGUUGAACAUAGUGUCUUUAAAAUUAAGACUAUGACUGCCCUAAACAUUUACAAAGCACAAACCAUGAGAAAAAAGCCUGUACCAGAAAUCAGAAGAUGGCUUUUGUCCAUGUGCAACCUUGGACAAGUUAAUUACUUAUCGCUGCUCUCUGAGCCCGUUUCCCCACUGGUUACCGAAAAAAUAGAAAAGGAUAUGCCUGCCCUUCCUAAUUCACAGGGCAUCGCAGGGAGGUAGGUAGUUAAUAUGCUGAACCACUUCAAAACGGUGGAGCUGAACUCACAGCAGGAACCCUGUCACACCUUUCCAUGACAAGGAUAUCAGUGGGGUGAGGGAGGUG
rnacentral:lncRNA from 1 species